UUGCUGGGCCAGAGUUCCAGGCACUUAAUUGUUUGCCGUUAACAAGAAGAACUUUAGUUAUGAUGUCUGCUUCAUUAGAUUUCUUAUGUUAGAAAACUUCUUGUGGACUAAAAUGCUUUUUGGCCUUUGGGUAUCCUUUAGAGGCAAAUUUCAGUGGAAGACUGAUCUUGGUUUCUUCUUUGCUAAAAAUUAUCGAGUCAUGAUUGAUAAAAUGGAUGCUGUGGGUUUGAUGCCUUGUUGAAUGUGCAUGGUUUUAUGCUGACAAAUAAGAUGAUUAUCAUUCUCAUGAUCUUUUCUUAGUCAUCAAAAAAGAGGAUGUGUAAGUUGGUUUGCAGUAUGUGUCUUUGGCUUCGGCAUGGUUACUCUUGGAGUAGAUAAAUGUUUAGAAUGGUUAUAUGUCUUGACUGUAUUUAAAUUUGGUGUUCAAUUGCUAAUUUUUACCACGACUUUUUAUUCUUUUUGUCAUUUGUUAUCUUCAUCAGCGUUGUUGUUAUUGUAAUUAUUUUAUAUCCUGCUUUUCUGUUGUUAAAAUAUAAGGUAUUUCAAUAUUGAAGCUUCUUUGCUAAUUGUGAAAUCUAACCACCCUUUUCUAUUUUGUGCAUUGUGCCUCUAGGAACAUUGUAUCAACAGUG
rnacentral:misc_RNA from 1 species